AAUGUACUUACAUAUAUUUUACAUCUUACACACUUUAUGAGUUAUCAUUUGAUGAAGGAUCAGAACCAUUUCGGCACCUUCCGUCAGUAUCACUCCCUGCAUAAGCACCGAACAACAUCAAUGCUACCAGGGAAUAUCCGGGUUCUUCUGGCCAAGCUGUAGCACGCUUCUUUUUCCUUUCAUUCGCCACCACAAUUUUUCUGAUUGCAGCUGUAACUACUCUAUUCAUGCAGCAACUGUUAUGUUUUACUACUACUUGGUGAGCAUUUGUUCCUUCAUAUGUGUAUACCGUAUUCACAUCCAUGAUAAAGCAUGCGUGCAUGCAUUCAUGCCCACAUGAAUAUGUAUAUAUUCAUACACACACACACACACACAUAUAUAUAUAUAUAUAUAUUCAUAUAUAUAUACACGCAUGAACAUACAUAUAUAUAUAUAUAUGUAUGUAUGUGUAUAUAUAUAUAUGUAUAUAUAUAUGUAUAUAUAUAUGUAUAUAUAUAUAUAUAUAUAUAUAUAUAUAUAUAUAUAUAUAUAUAUUGAUUUUGAUUUUUUGAUUUUUCCAGUUUCAGCUAAUGAGCUGUGGCCAUGCUGGGGCACCGCCAUAUAUAUAUAUAUAUAUAUAUAUAUAUAUAUAUAUAUAUAUAUAUGAACAAAAUGUUAGAUAGAUAGAUAGAUAGAUAGAUAGAUAGAUAGAUAGAUAGAUAGAUAGAUAGAUAGAUAGAUAGAUAGAUAGAUAGAUAGAUAGAUAGAUAGAUAGAUAGAUAGACACAUUGACAGACAGGUGUAGAAUAUAUAUAUAUAUAUAUAUAUAUAUCAUUUAAAAUGAGGGUGAAAAAUUGGAUAUUAAUUUGAUUAACAUUAAUUUAAAACCAGUGGUCUAGCAUAUUAAAAUGUGAAAGGUCAGAAAAUUGUAUUACAUACAUAUGAGAGGGAUCCCUUUCAUAUGUAUGUAUAUAUAUAUAUAUAUAUAUAUAUAUAUAUAUAUAUAUAUAUAUAUAUAUAUAUAUAUAUAUAUAUAUAUAUAUAUAUAUAUAUAUAUAUAAAUAUAGUUAUUUAUACAUAGUUAUAUGUAUAUAUAUAUAUAUAUAUAUAUAUAUAUAUAUAUAUAUAUAUAUAUAUAUAUAUAUAACGACGGGCUUCUUUCAGUUUCCGUCUACCAAAUCCACUCACAAGGUUUUGGUCGGCCCGAGGCUAUAAUAGAAGACACUUGCCCGAAGUGCCACGCAGUGGGACUGAACCCGGAGCCAUGUUAUUAUUAUUAUUAUUGUUAUUAUUAUUAUUAUUAUUAUUAUUAUUUAAAAGCGUUUCAUUAGGAUCGUUAUUGGAACAUAGCACUAAGAGCUCAAGGAACGGAAUCCACGUGUGUGUAUUUGCGCGCGUGUAUAUGUAUGUAUAUAUAUAUAUAUAUAUAUAUAUAUAUAUAUAUAUAUAUAUAUAUGAGCGUAGGAGUGUCUGUGUGGUAAGUAACUUGCUUACGAACCACAUGGUUCCGGGUUCAAUCCCAAUGCGUGUCACCUUGUGCAAGUGACUUCUACUGUAGCCUCGGGCAGACCAAAGCCUUAUGAGUGGACUUGGUAGACAGAAACUGAAAGGAGCCCGACGUAUAUAUGUGUAUAUAUAUGUGUGUGUGUGUGUUUGUCCCAGCAACAUCACUUGACAAGUAAUGUUGGUGUGGUUACGUCCCCAUAACUUAGCGGUUCAGCAAAAGAUCCAAUGGAAUAAGUACUAGGCUUACAAAGAAUAAAUCCUGGGGUCGAUUUGCUCGACUAAAGGCGGUGCUCCAGCAUGGCCACAGUCAAAUGACUGAAACAAGUAAAAGAGUAAAGCGUAUAUAUAUACAUACACACACAUACACACAUAUACCUAUAUAUGUAUUUAUAUACAUACAUACAUAUAAAUACACACGCGCGGACGCGCGUUUGUUCAUGCCUGUAUCUGUCCAUUUUACUAUCAAUUUCUCUCUCACAAGAUGUAUGACAGAUGCAUGUGUUCAGUACUGUCUUUAGACACAUUGGGCAGUUGUCCAGGGGACCCACGAAUCUACGAACCCGAUACUAAUUUAUGCAUACUGUAGCAUGCACGUUGGUUGCGUUUGUAAGAACUGCAGUGCUUUUAUUUGCCCCAGGGAUUAUUAUGCCAUUAAGGAAAUCCUACUGUAUCUGCAUUCACACUCAUUAGCAUUAAUAAACUCACAUGCAUACAUGCAUGUACACACAUACAUAGACACAUACACAUUUAUAUUCCCGCAGGCCCAUGCACAUACAUUAAUGCAUUUGGUUAUUUUUUUCUCAUUUGUAAAUGAUUAUGAUAUCAUUAAUAAAAUUAAUGACAAUUAUUAUUAUUAUUAUUAUUAUCAUCAUCAUCAUUUUAUUAUUAUUCGCCAAGCAUUUUAAGCGCAUCGCUCAAAAUUCUCGGUGGCAUUUCAUCCGUCUUUACGUCCUGAGUUCAAAUUCCACCGUGGUUGACUUUGCCUUUCAUCCUUUCGAGGUCGAUGAAAUAAGUACUAGUCGAGUACUGGGAUCAAUGUAAUCGUCUAGUCACUUCCUUUAUUAUUAUUAUUAUUAUUAUUAUUAUUAUUAUUAUUAUUAUUAUUAUUUUAUGUUUGACUUUUGCUUUACAUUCGUACAAAUUGGCUCCAAGUCUCACCCAGAGACUUAUUAUUAUUAUUAUUAUUAUUAUUGUUAUUAUUAUUAUUAUUAUUAUUAUUAUUAUUAUUAUUAUUAUUAUUAUUAUUAUUAUUAUUAUUAUUUAGGCAGCGAGCUAGUAGAAUCGUUGCGGCAGCGGACAAAAUGCUUCACGGCAUAUCUCCCGGCUUUACGUUUUAAGUUCAAAUUCCGCUUUGCCUUUCAUCCUUUCGAGGCCGAUAAAAUGAGUAGCAAUCCAGUACUGGGGUCGAUAUAAUCGACUAUGCCCCUCACCCAAAAUUUCAGGCUUUGUACCUAAAGCACGAAGAAUUAUUGAUGCUGCUGCGUGAAAGAGCAGUGCACGCUACCAAAGUGACACUGGGGUACAAAUAUACGAAGCCCAAUAAACCUAUCAUGACAACUCGUCUGACAAAGGUUCACCAGGUCGAGUAGCCCAUCCUACUCAAAAGGUCCCUGAAUAAAGGUUUGCUCCCCACUACUCCUGUUCGGGAUCAGAGAUACAAAUAUCGUCAGCCUCAUUGAGACGUGCUCAACUGCUUAUGGUCAAGCAACUGACAAGCAAAUUUGUGAUGUUGAGCAGAAUAUUUGCUGUAGCCCAUCUUUAACACCAAGACAAAACAUGUACAUAUUAGCACUUCCAAUCAUUACUGAAGGUGGCGAGCUGGUAGAAUCGUUGACACGAAAUGUUUAGCGGUAUUUCGCCCGUCAUUACAUUCUGAGUUCAAAUUCCGCCGAGAUCGACUUUGCCUUUCAUAAUCUCGGGGUCGAUUAAAUAAGUACUAGUUACGUACUGGAGAUAAUGUAAUCGACAUAAUCCCUUCCCCCAAAUUUGAGGCCUAGUGCUUCCAGUAGUUAAAGGAUUAUUAUUAUUAUUAUUAUUAUUAUUAUUAUUAUUAUUAUUAUUAUUAUUAUUAUUAUUAAUAUUAUUAUUAUUAUUACUGAAGGCGGCAAACUGGCAGAGUCGUUAGCACGCGGGGCAAAAUGCUUAGCAGUAUUUCGUCUACGUUCUGGGUUCAAAUUCCGCCGAGAUUUUGCCUUUCAUCCUUUCGGAGUCGAUAAAUUAAGUACCAUUUGAGUAAUGAGGUUGGUGUGAUCGACUGCCCCCUCCCCUAAAUUCCAGGCCUUGUGCUUAUAGCAGAAAGGAUUAUUAUUAUCAUUAUUAUUAUUAUUAUUAUUAAUGAAGAUGGCGAGUUGGCAGAAUUGUUAGCAAAAUGCUUAACGGCAUUUCGUCCAUGUUCACGUUCUGAGUUCAAAUUCCGCCGAGGUCGACUUUGCCUUUCAUCCUUUCGGAGUCGAUGAAAUAAGUACCAGUUACGCUCUUGGAUCGACGUAAUCGACUAGCCCCCUUACCCCCAGAAUUUCAGGCCUUGUGCCUUAUGUAGAAAGGAUUAUUAUCAUCAUUAUUAUUAUUAUUAUUAUUAUUAUUAUUAUUAUUAUUAUUAUUAUUAUUAUUAUUAUUACUACUACUACUACUAAGAUGGCGAGCUGGCAGAAUCGUUAGCACGCCGGGCAAAAUACUUGGCGGCAUUUCGCCUGCCUUUACGUUCUCAUUUCAAAUUCCGCCGGGGUCGGCUUUGCCUUUCAUCCUUUCGAGGUCGGUAACAUUAAGUACCAUUCUUCCCCGUGAAACUGCCGAUUGUCAUUUUAAUUUUCUUUUACUAUUUUUCUUUUUUUUUUUUUAAUUUCUGGAUUUGUUAUUUGCUUCAUUCUUAAAUUCUUAUUCAUUUAGAUAUUUUUUUCAUUUCACAAAAUGCUGAUUUUAUCAUGUAAAUUGUUUUAAUUACCGCAUUCAAAAAAAAGAUAUAUAAAUAAGCAGACAGAAGUACAGACAUAGACUAAUAGAUAGAAAUGUGGAUAAACUGCCGAAUGUGUUGACAGCUAAACGCAGACAAAGAGGCAAAGCUAGAUAAAUAAAUUGCUAUGCAACUAAACGUAACAACAAAGCUGAGAGAAUGCAUGUAUGCAUAUAUCCAUACAUCCAAACAUGACACUAUACGCGCUAUACGCACACGCACAGUGAUAGCUGCUUUGUUAGGAAGCUCGCUUUGCAACCACUUGGAUUCGGGUUCUGUCCCACUAGAUGGCACCUUGGGUGAAGAUCUACUAUAGCCCCAGGCUGACCAGUACCUUAUGAAUGAAUUUGGCAGACAGAAACAAUGUGGAAGCCCGUUCUUUUCCAAAAACAUGCCCCAAUGUGGCUGCCGUCCAAUAUCAGAAACUAAUAAAAGACAAAAGAUAUACCGUGUGUGCGUGUGUGUGUGUGUGCGCGUGUGUGUGUGUGUGCGCGCGUGCGUGCGCGCGUGCGUGCUUGUAUGUAUUUGCGUAUGUGUGUACAUGUGUGUGUAUAUCUUUGUAUUUGCUCCAGGCACCGUUUCACAACCGGUGCUUGCUUGUUUACGUCCCCAUAAAUCAGCGGUUCGGCACCAAAAAAAAAGACUGUCAGAUGAAUACCAAAAUUGGAAAAAUAAGUACUGGGUCGAUUUGUUCAACUAAACCGUUUAAAGCGUUGCUCCAACACGACCGCAGACCAAUGACUGUGUGUGUGUGUGUGUGUGUGUGUGUGUGUGUGUGUGUGUGUGUGUGUGUGUGUGUGUGUGUGUAUGUGUGUGUGUGUGUGAAAGUAUAUAUGUUAUCACAUGAUAUACUCUCGGAUAGACAGACAGAGAGACAGGCAGAUAGAUAUGUUUCUUUAUUAGCCACACAGGGCUGCACACAGACAGGACAAAUUACAAGGUAGAGCUUUUCUUUUGGGGGUAAAAAAAAGGGGGUUUGGUUUUCGAUCAAAAGGGAUCGUAAAAGGAAAGAAAGAGAACAAAAAUGGGGGGGAGGAAAAGGAAAGAUAGAUAGAUAGAUAGAUAUGUUUCUUUAUUAGCCACACAGGGCUGCACACAGAUAGAACAAAUUACAAGGUAGAGCUUUUCUUUUGAAGGUUUAAAAAAAAAAAAAAAAAAAAAGGAAGGGGGAGUUUCGAUCAAAAGGGAUCGUAAAAGGAGAGAAAGAGGACAAAAAAAAGGGGGGUUAAAAAAAAGGGGGAGAGGAAAAAAAAAAAAAUUUGAUCAAUAGGGAUCGUUAUCACAGAAAUGUCAAUAUGAAGUGUAAAGGGGAGGACAGGUGAGGUUUACCCGUGGAAAGAAAAGCCUACGGAAAAGACCACGGUAACCUCGGUCAAUGGAGUCACAUGUUAUAUUUCUUUUUUUUUUUUUUUGCAAAUAAGCAACUCUCUGUUUUCAAUUUCUGGGUUCAUAGGAUCAUGCUCAAGGUGGCUUCGUCAUUCAUACGUGCCAUUCUUGAUACAUUCACCCAUCUUUUUUUAAAACAUUCGCUAGACAAAACUUGCCUCUCUACUCUCACUUUCCUUUUCAAGUGGUACUUGAAGAAGUUGAUGAGAGAUUGACCAGAGAGGAAAGUGUUUGUCUCCAAUCCUUUCAGACGCGUCCACCAGAUACAUUCUUUCGCCAUAGCCACAAGGAUGAUGAAAAUAGCUCUUCCUUCCCGUUUGAAGGAGGGAGGCGUGACAAUAUUAACGAUAGACUCAGCUGAUAAACCGACUCGUCCCACACGUGACAGCAGUUGUUCGACAUAAGCCCACAGGUCGGAAAUUGUUGGACACUGCACGAGUGCGUGCAGAACGGUUUCGUCGCUCUGACCGCAUCUCGGGCAGGUCGGCCCCGUGUUUCUCGAGCCGUGUCUGUAGAGCUUAUCCCGAACGGGUAGCGCUUCUCGGUAGCACUGCCAGGCCAGGGAUCUCUGGAAGUUGUCCAUGGGCCCUGGCCCGAAAGUCGUCCUGAACAGGCGGGUCAGGUACUCCUCGUCGACGUCCAGGUUCGCCCCGAGCUCGUCGUCGUACCUCCCCUCCACUAAACCCCUAUAGAAUGCUUUGGUUGUGUUGAAGUCACUCAAGGUCGACCCAGGACGGCAGAGUUGCUUGAGAGCAACGCGACACUCGCGAUGCCAUUCGCCCUUCUUCGGCCUCUUUUUGAUCCACGACUGCAGUUCGGUCAUGGAGACGAGCUGCGGGAAAGCGUGCCUCACAAACGGCGACCACACCUGUUCACCGUCGUCUACAUAGAGCCAGAGAUGUCGCAGUCUCAGCGCGUGUCUGCGCAUCAUCAACCACGGCAUGCCCAGCCCUCCUUUUAACGGGUGUUGACAGCAAAUGGAUCGCCUGACCAUCGGGACGCAUCCUUUCCACAAGAAGCGAAAGAGAAUGCGUUGUAGUUUGGUGAUGGUAGGGUCGGGACAAGGUAUGACGGUCAGGCGGUAGUAGAUGACGGACGCGAUGUACGUGUUCGCCACCUCCGCCCGACCUUUUAGGGACAGUUUCCUCUCGGCCCAUUGCCGGGCGAGAGUGACCACCCUACUCGUUAUCUCGUUCCAGUUCUUCUCCACUUGGAGGUCCGGACCAAACCAGACCCCGAGCAACUCAACCGGGCCGUCGGUCCAGCGUCCCACGACGGAGGCGCUGGUGGACGGCAUGGGCUUGCUUCUCCAGGUGCCGAGUCGCAAGCCCACUGACUUUUCCCGCUUGAUUUUUGCUCCUGUCACCGCUUCGUAGUUUUUCAGUGUCUCGCCGACCUGCUCGAUGUGCUCGUGGCUAGACACUAUGACGGUGACGUCGUCCGCGUAUGCAGACACGCUCGUCCCGCAUCCCAGUUCUCGCGGGAUGCCUCUCAAGGUUGCCAGCUUCCGCAAUAAUGGCUCGAGAGUCAAUACGUAUAGAAGCGACGAGAGGGGGCAUCCCUGACGGACCGAACGUGCGAUGUCGAAGGGUCUCGAUAGAUGUCCAUUCACGCGAAUUACCGAACGGAUGCCUCUGUACAAAGCGGCUAUCCAGCCGCGGAAGACGGGACCGAAGCCAGCCGCUCCGAGGACCGCCUCCAAGUAUCGAUGGUCCACCCUAUCGAAAGCUUUCGAUUGAUCCAAAUUGAUCAGCGUCCCACCCAUGCCAGGUUCGUUAACUACCCUGUCUAUGAUGUAGCGCAUCAGGUGGAGGUUGUCAUGGAUGGUCCGGCCUGGCACGGCGCAUGUUUGCGCCUUGUCGACCAGUUUCUCGAUGACAAGCGCCAACCUCUUGGCUAGCACCUUGGCCAAAAUUUUCAAGUCUGCAUUAAGCAGAGUGAUGGGCCUAAAGUUAUCUAUUACAUUUCCCUUGUUUAGAUCUUUCUUCAGCAGUGUUACGGCUCCUCGGCUCACAAAACCAGGAAUGCUCCCGUUUUGCUGCCAGUUGCAGUACACCGCCGCCAAGAGAUCUCCAAACAAGUCUGGCAUACAAUUGUAAAGCUCGUAGGGUAGACCAUCCAAACCCGGUGAUUUGUCCCCCGAGCAUUCUGCCAUCGCUUCCUGCACUUCCGCCGCCGUGAUGGCACCUUCGCAGCACCCUGCCUUUCUUGUCGAGAGUCGUGGUAGGCUAUGUAGGUAGGCACUGAAGUCCACCCUACGUUCUUGCCCUCCACUCGUUCCGAACAGUCGGGCAAAAUGCUGCUGAAAGGCCUCACACAUUUUACUUGGCUCGAGCAAUUCGCGCCCCUGUUCAUCUACCAGUGACCGAAUGGUGGCUUUGUUGCCCUGUUGCGCCUCUGCCACCCGGGCCUCUCUCGCGGCUCCAACACCUUCGUUCCUUAGCGCACGCAUCCUAGCUCUGACAGCACAUCCUUCGUGUUUGGCGUUGAAGUUUGGCGCCAAAACGUCGGAUGCGAUGCCGCUUCUAAUUGCCUCUUCUAGCUUCUUAACUAGCUCACCCUCUACUCUAUUUCUAUCUAUGGCUAGUGCUUUGCUGUACCUAAUCGCUUCUGCUUUUACUGCUCUCUUGAGGGCAAACCAAGAUAGAUAGAUAGAUAGAUAGAUAGAUAGAUAGAUAGAUAGAUAGAUAGAUAGAUAGAUAGAUAGAUAGAUAGAUAGAUAGAUAGAUAGAUAGAUAGAUAGAUAGAUAGAUAGAUAGAUAUGUUUCUUUAUUAGCCACACAGGGCUGCACACAGAUAGAACAAAUUACAAGGUAGAGCUUUUCUUUUGAAGGUUUAAAAAAAAAAAAAAAAAAAAGGAAGGGGGAGUUUCGAUCAAAAGGGAUCGUAAAAGGAGAGAAAGAGGACAAAAAAAGGGGGGUUUAAAAAAAAGGGGGGAGGAAAAAAAAUUGAUCAAUAGGGAUCGUUAUCACAGAAAUGUCAAUAUGAAGUGUAAAGGGGAGGACAGGUGAGGUUUACCCGUGCAAAGAAAAGCCUACGGAAAAGACCACGGUAACCUCGGUCAAUGAUGUCACAUUUUAUAUUUCUUUUUUUUUUUUUUUUGCAAAUAAGCAACUCUCUGUUUUCGAUUUCUGGGUUCAUAGGACUAUGCUCAAGGUGGCUUCGUCAUUCAUACGUGCCAUUCUUGCUACAUUCACCCAUCUUUUUUUAAAACAUUCGCUAGACAAAACUUGCCUCUCUACUCUCACUUUCCUUUUCAAGUGGUACUUGAAGAAGUUGAUGAGAGAUUGACCAGAGAGGAAAGUGUUUGUCUCCAAUCCUUUCAGACGCGUCCACCAGAUACAUUCUUUCGCCAUAGCCACAAGGAUGAUGAAAAUAGCUCUUCCUUCCCGUUUGAAGGAAGGAGGCGUGACAAUAUUGACGAUAGACUCAGCUGAUAAACCGACUCGUCCCACACGUGACAGCAGUUGUUCGACAUAAGCCCACAGGUCGGAAAUUGUUGGACACUGAACGAGUGCGUGCAGAACGGUUUCGUCGCUCUGACCGCAUCUCGGGCAGGUCGGCCCCGUGUUUCUCGAGCCGUGUCUGUAGAGCUUAUCCCGAACGGGUAGCGCUUCUCGGUAGCACUGCCAGGCCAGGGAUCUCUGGAAGUUGUCCAUGGGCCCUGGCCCGAAAGUCGUCCUGAACAGGCGGGUCAGGUACUCCUCGUCGACGUCCAGGUUCGCCCCGAGCUCGUCGUCGUACCUCCCCUCCACUAAACCCCUAUAGAAUGCUUUGGUUGUGUUGAAGUCACUUAAGGUCGACCCAGGACGGCAGAGUUGCUUGAGAGCAACGCGACACUCGCGGUGCCAUUCGCCCUUCCUCGGCCUCUUUUUGAUCCACGACUGCAGUUCGGUCAUGGAGACGAGCUGCGGGAAAGCGUGCCUCACAAACGGCGACCACACCUGUUCACCGUCGUCUACAUAGAGCCAGAGAUGCCGCAGUCUCAGCGCGUGUCUGCGCAUCAUCAACCACGGCAUGCCCAGCCCUCCUUUUAACGGGUGUUGACAGCAAAUGGAUCGCCUGACCAUCGGGACGCAUCCUUUCCACAAGAAGCGAAAGAGGAUGCGUUGUAGUUUGGUGAUGGUAGGGUCGGGACAAGGUACGACGGUCAGGCGGUAGUAGAUGACGGACGCGAUGUACGUGUUCGCCACCUCCGCUCGACCUUUUAGGGACAGUUUCCUCUCGGCCCAUUGCCGGGCGAGAGUGACCACCCUACUCGUUAUCUCGUUCCAGUUCUUCUCCACUUGGAGGUCCGGACCAAACCAGACCCCGAGCAACUCAACCGGGCCGUCGGUCCAGCGUUUCACGACGGAGGCGCUGGUGGACGGCAUGGGCUUGCUUCUCCAGGUGCCUAGUCGCAAGCCCACUGACUUUUCCCGGUUGAUUUUCGCUCCUGUCACCGCUUCGUAGUUUUUCAGUGUCUCGCCGACCAGCUCGAUGUGCUCGUGGCUAGACACUAUGACGGUGACGUCGUCCGCGUAUGCAGACACGCUCGUCCCGCAUCCCAAUUCUCGCGGGAUGCCCCUUAGAGUCGCCAGCUUCCGCAGUAGUGGCUCAAGAGUCAAUACGUAUAGAAGCGCCGAGAGGGGGCAUCCCUGACGGACCGAACGUGCAAUGUUGAAAGGUCUCGAUAGAUGUCCAUUUACGCGAAUUACCGAACGGAUGCCUCUGUACAAAGCAGCUAUCCAUCCGCGGGACCGAAACCAGCCGCUCUCAGGACUGCCCCCAAGUAUCGAUGGUCUACCCUAUCAAAGGCUUUCGAUUGAUCCAAGUUGAUCAGGGCCCCACCCAUGCCAGGUUCGUUAACUACCCUGUCUAUGAUGUAGCGCAUCAGAUGGAGGUUGUCAUGGAUGGUCCGGCCUGGCACGGCGCAUGUUUGCGCCUUGUCGACCAGUUUCUCGAUGACAAGCGCCAACCUCUUGGCUAGCACCUUGGCCAAAAUUUUCAAGUCUGCAUUAAGCAGAGUGAUGGGCCUAAAGUUAUCUAUUACAUUUCCCUUGUUUAGAUCUUUCUUCAGCAGUGUUACGGAUCCUCGGCUCACAAAACCAGGAAUGCUCCCGUUUUGCUGCCAGUUGCAGUACACCGCCGCCAAGAGAUCUCCAAACAAGUCUGGCAUACAAUUGUAAAGCUCGUAGGGUAGACCAUCCAAACCCGGUGAUUUGUCCCUCGAGCAUUCUGCCAUCGCUUCCCGCACUUCCGCCGCCGUGAUGGCACCUUCGCAGCACCCUGCCUUUCUUGUCGAGAGUCGUGGUAGGCUAUGUAGGUAGGCACUGAAGUCCACCCUACGUUCUUGCCCUCCACUCGUUCCGAACAGUCGGGCAAAAUGCUGCUGAAAGGCUUCACACAUUUUACUUGGCUCGAGCAAUUCGCGCCCCUGUUCAUCUACCAGUGACCGAAUGGUGGCUUUGUUGCCCUGUUGCGCCUCUGCCACCCGGGCCUCUCUCGCGGCUCCAACACCUUCGUUCCUUAGAGCACGCAUCCUAGCUCUGACAGCACAUCCUUCGUGUUUGGCGUUGAAGUGUUGGUCGAGGGCCAACCUCGCCGCCAAAACGUCGGAUGCGAUGCCGCUUCUAAUUGCCUCUUCUAGCUUCUUAACUAGCUCACCCUCUACUCUAUUUCUAUCUAUGGCUAGUGCUUUGCUGUACCUAAUCGCUUCUGCUUUUACUGCUCUCUUGAGGGCAAACCACCAUUUGUUGUUGAUGAUGGCUCCCGUCAAAGCCCUCUUUACUAGUGUGCUAAUCCGGUCUCUGAAAACUUGUCUCGAUGGGAAAGACGCGUUUAGUUUCCAGUAUCCGGGACCCUGCCUAAGUGUCUUACCUAAGUCUAGCGUACAUGUCACAAGUUUGUGAUCCGUGUAGCUGACUAUGUGGAAUUGUGGACAUCCUAUGCUAUCUCUAUCUACUGUCCUACACAGUAUCCUAUCUAGAUACGAUCUCGAUGACCCGAUGCGGUUGCUCCAUGUCCACGUUGGCGCAUUCGGGUGGUCUAGUCGGAACCUGUCAGACAGUUGAAAGCGUCUGAGCAGGUCUCUGAGGCAUUUGCAUCCCCGUCUAUUCCUAUCUCUACCCACGUAGUCUACAUGCGUGUCCAAGGUAGCAUUCCAAUCCCCCACUAAGAGUAAAGGACGAGACGUUCCCAAGAAAACUUCUAGACGUUGAAAGAAAUCCGCCCGACCUGUUAAGGGCGGUGCGUAAACUGAUACGAGUCGAAAAGCGCACCCAUUGCUGCCGUCGACAUCCAGGACGACCAGUCUACCCUCCGGGUCUACGAAUAUUGUCCUUACUUUGAGAUCCAGACUCUUGUGAAAAAGUACCGCGGUGCCACUACCGCCCAUUCUCGGCAGACAGGGGGAAAAAUAAAUGUUGAACUGUCCGCCAAACAUGGUCUUUAGGGCCCGCGGAUUGUGGAGUCUGGUCUCGCUUAUGGCUAUGAUUUCUAACUUAUGUGACUUUAUGUCAUUUAAGAGGUACCCUUGUUUCCAAGGGGACCCCAAGCCACGCGCAUUUACACAACCAAUCUUGAUCAUAGUUCUAAUGAAUUAGAAUACAGAGGGUUACUUACUGCUUUCUCCUCCGUUUUUGCUUUCUCCUCCGUUGGUUUGUCCUCGAGAAGAUCCCAGUACAGUUUCUUUGUGAGAUAUUUUUGGCAUUUACCAACCGCACUGGGGAAAAUGCCUUUGAGUGUGUGGUGCAGACUUUUGGAGAUGUGUAAUAUUUUGAUGUGGUCUGGUGGUGUUGUGUAUGGGUGAUUGUUUGUUUUUAUGUCAUCUUCUGUUAUGUUUGUUUUUGAUUGGAUGUAUUCCAUUAAAUUUGUGUUUUUGGUGUCUAUGGCUGUGAGCAUGUUUGCUGUAUAUGUUUUUGUGGUGUUGGUGUGGCUGUUGUUUGCGUUGGGUUUUGAAAUGUCUUCUGGAGAUGUAUUUCCCCCUGCUUUGUUCGUGUUUGCAUUUGGUUUGGUUGUGUUUCUGCUCUUUAUUUUCCUUCUUUUUGUAGCUAUUUGCCAUUCCUCACUGGUUUCGUCUUCCGACGAAAUUUCUGAGGAAUCAGAAGGGGGUAGGGGUAUGUUGUGGGCUUCUAUGUAUGUCUGUGUAAGUGGUUGUGUUGUUGUUUUCGUUGUUGUUGGUUGUUGAGUGUUUGUGUGUGUUGAGUGCGGUAUAAGGGAUGGGGGAUCAGUUUGUGUGUGUUUUCUUUGUUUUUCUGUUCCUUUGGGUUUUGCUGUUGUUGGUGGUGUUGGUAUUUUUCCAGGUGUUGAGUGGUUUUUGGUUGAUGACGGAUUAGCUUGGUGUGCUUCUCUUGUCGUCUUCUGUGUUGAUGGUGGUGUGGGUAGUAGAGCUUUUUUUCCGGAGUGCUUUGGUUGUGGUAGUGGUUGUUGUUGUUGCUCUUGGUGUGCAGUGGUUGGGCACGUCUUUUUCAAGUGUGUUUCGCUUCCACACAAAUAGCAGCGUGGUCGCCUGCCCUCAACCACUAUAUAGAGUUUGUAGCCUCCUGGCAGUUCUAUAGAGGUGGGUAUCUUCUCUCUUGCUGCUUCAUCCAAUUGAAGCAGGAAUUCGAUUGAUUUGCCCACAUAGUCUUUCUCUCCUAGAACCGCGAUUUCCAGGAUGUUUGUCUCUGACAUUGUCUCUGACAUUUCAAAGCAGAUGGCAGAGACCAACCAUUGUGUUUCGACAUCAAAUGGUAUGUUUUUUAUUUGGACUUUCGUGACCCUUUUGUUUAAAUAGACUGGUAUCAUUACCAAGUCGUCCGAAUGUAGCUCCAAUGUGGAAAAACGUUUUGCUAAACUUUCGUUGAGGAAACGUACUUGGACUGUACCAAAUUUGUUUCCCCAACUGAUAUAUUCCUUGGAGUCCCAUGCAGGACGAAGGCAUUUUUCGAUUUUUCCUGCGGUGCAUUUUCUGUUCUUCUUGUUUUUUUGUUUAUUACUUUAUAAAUUAUUGUUUUUUUUUUGGUGUUUUCCACGAUGUGUUGUGGAAUGUGAAGGUGCAAUUUGUCUCCUUCUUUGGAGAAGAGUGCCUUUGUGCGGUUUAUCUCUUGUGUGGUGAAUGUUACAAUUGUUCUUUUUUGUUUUGUUACGUCCGCAAAAUUCGUUUUGAAUUUGGCAGUAGAAGUGUUAAUUGUGGCAGUGUUAAUUGUGGCAGUGUUAAUUGAAGUCAUGGUAGUGGUGUUGGUGUUGGCGGUAUUAGCAGUAGAAGGCUUGGAUGUAGCAUUUGACGUCGUAGUAGUGGUGUUGGUGUUGGCGGUGUUGUCUUUGGUAGGCGGCUUUGUGCCAAUUUCGUUGUUGUUGUUGUUGGUGGUGAUGGUGGUGGUGCUGGCAUUCAUGUUUUCGUUUGUAUUCAUUUUUGAAAUCCCUUUCUCUGUCCCUUUAUCAUCAACAAGUGGUGUGGGGAGUGAGGGGAAAUCUAAGUUAAUGUCUUUGGUCGCGGCGAUGGUGAAUGCGGCGUUAGAUUUGUUGUUGUUGUUGGUGGUGGUGGUGAUGGUGGUGACAGCGGUGUUCACGCUGCGAUGUUUAGUAGUUAGUGGUAGCAAUAGUGUUUUGCUACCGUUCUGCAUGACUGGCGGGCUAGCCACGUGGUUUCUAGUUGCCAUUUUCAAAAUGAAAAAUGGCUAAAAAACCCACGAAAGUUUUGAAAGUUUUUUUGUAAUUUCGCCCAUACAGGGGCGGAAUUCUACGUGAAUAAUUCUCAGGUUUUUUAGUGAAUGAACUUGCACAACGAUUAAAACAAAAUAUUUGACAACAAGGAGUUUUAAACAUGUAAAAGUGGCCAACUUACGUGGAGCCGAUAUGACUAUCGUCCGUCCAUUGUGAUAGAUAGAUAGAUAGAUAGAUAGAUAGAUAGAUAGAUAGAUAGAUAGAUAGAUAGAUAGAUAGAUAGAUAGAUAGACAGACAGAUAGACCGACAGAUAACUUUCUUUAUUGGCCACACAGGGCUGGACACAGAGGGAACAAUUACAAAUGUAGAGCUUUUCUUUUCGAAGAUGGCAAAGGAAAAAGAAAAAAAAGGAAACAAAUGUAAAAUUUCGAUCAAAAGGGAUCGGGGGAAAAAAGCGAUCAAAAGGGAUCGUGUAUCACAGAAAGAAAAAAAUUUAUUUUUCAAAGUAACAAACAAGAUUAGGUUCAUCCGGGGAAAGAAAAGCCUACAGAAAAGACCACGGUAACCUCAGGCAGGGAGGAAAUAAACACAUGAGAGCAAAGUGCUCUCUCUCUCUCUCUUUUACGACUUACAGGAUCAUAGAUAGAUAGAUAGAUAGAUAGAUAGAUAGAUAGAUAGAUAGAUAGAUAGAUAGAUAGAUAGAUAGACAGACAGACAGACAGACAGACAGACAGACAGACAGACAGACAGAAAGAAAAAAGAAAAAAGAAAGACGGACGGACGGACGGACAGACAGACAAACAGAUAGAUAGAUAGAUAAGUUUCUUUAUUGGCCACACAGGGCUGCACACAGAUGGGACAAGUUACAAGGUAGAGCUUUUCUUUUGGGAGAUGAGAAAAACAAAAAACAAAAGAAGCAAAAAAAAAGGGGUGGCGUAGGUUUUCGAUCAAGAGUGAUCGUAAAAGGGAAGAAAAGAACAAAAAAAAUAAAUAAAGAAAAGAAAAAAGAAAAAAGAAAAAGAAAAAAAAGAAAAGGAAAAGGAACAAAAGAAAAGAGAAAUGAAAAAAGAAGAAAAAGGGGAAAAAAAAGGGGAAGAGGAAAAAAACGAUCAAUAGGGAUCGUGUAUCACAGUGUUAUGAUAUAUGGUGUAAAGGGGAAAGCAAGUAAGGUUUAUCCGUGGGAAGAAAAGCCUACGAAAAAGACCACGGUAACCUUGGUCAAUAUUGUUAUAUGUUACCACAUUUGUUUGCAAGUGGGUAACCCUCUGUUUUCAAUUUCUGGGUUCAUAGGAUUAUGCACAAGGUGGCUUCGUCAUUCAUACGUGCCAUCCUUGCUACAUUCACCCAUCUUUUUUUAAAACAUUCGCUAGACAAAACUUGCCUCUCUACUCUCACUUUCCUUUUCAAGUGGUACUUGAAGAAGUUGAUGAGAGAUUGACCAGAGAGGAAAGUGUUUGUCUCCAAUCCUUUCAGACGCGUCCACCAGAUACAUUCUUUCGCCAUAGCCACAAGGAUGAUGAAAAUAGCUCUUCCUUCCCGUUUGAAGGAAGGAGGCGUGACAAUAUUGACGAUAGACUCAGCUGAUAAACCGACUCGUCCCACACGUGACAGCAGUUGUUCGACAUAAGCCCACAGGUCGGAAAUUGUUGGACACUGCACGCACGGUUUCGUCGCUCUGACCGCAUCUCGGGCAGGUCGGCUCCGUGUUUCUCGAGCCGUGUCUGUAGAGCUUAUCCCGAACGGGUAGCGCUUCUCGGUAGCACUGCCAGGCCAGGGAUCUCUGGAAGUUGUCCAUGGGCCCUGGCCCGAAAGUCGUCCUGAACAGGCGGGUCAGAUACUCCUCGUCGACGUCCAGGUUCGCCCCGAGCUCGUCGUCGUACCUCCCCUCCACUAAUCCCCUAUAGAAUGCUUUGGUUGUGUUGAAGUCACUCAAGGUCGACCCAGGACGGCAGAGUUACUUGAGAGCAACGCGACACUCGCGGUGCCAUUCGCGAGAUAGAUAGAUAGAUAGAUAGAUAGAUAGAUAGAUAGAUAGAUAGAUAGAUAGAUAGAUAGAUAGAUAGAUAGAUAGAUAGAUAGAUAGAUAGAUAGAUAGAUAGACAGAUGAUAGAUAGAUAGAUAGAUAGAUAGAUAGAUAGAUAGAUAGAUAGAUAGAUAGAUAGAUAGAUAGACAGAUAGAAUGGCAGGCGAAUAGACAGGCAGAUGACAGCCUCAUAAACACUUGUAGGGUGAUGGACAAUAGAUAAAUGCAUGUGUAUAAAUGCGUUAUUAUGGAGUUGAGCGCAUAUGUAUAUGCAUGCAAGAAUCGUGCAUGCGGAAUAAACAUUUUUGUAUAAAAGUGUGUGUACGUAUAUAUCUCUAUAUGUAUUUAUAUGGAAACAUAUUCAGUAACGUGUGUAUACACACACACACAUACACAUGUAUGUGGAUGUAUUUUAUAUUUAUAUACGUUUGCAUAGUAAUGUACUGGUAAACUUUUGUGCGCGCGCUCACGCAUAUACAGGCAAACACACACACACACUCACACUCAGUCACAUGUAUGUAUGUAUGUAUGUAUGUAUAUGUAUGUAUGUAUGUGUGUUCAUGUGUGAGCGUAUUUAUACGUGUAUGUGUGUGGGUGUAUUUCAUGGAUAUGUGUGUGUUAUGUAUGUAAAUGUAGGGGUGUAUAACUGUAUAUGUGUAUAUGUAUUUUGUGUAUGAGUGUGUAUGAGAGAGAGAGAGAGUGUGUGAGUGUACAUGUGUGAGCGUGUGUGUGAGUGUGUGUGUGAGGGUAUGGGUGUGUGAGUGUGAGUGUGUGUGUCGGUGUAUGAGAGAGAGAGUGGGUGUGUGAGUGGGUGUGUGAGUGGGUGUAUGUCUGUGUGUGUUUUCUUUUAUUUGUUUACGGUCUGAUGUGAAAGGCCGGUGUGCAUCUUGUGUUACCCCGCUUAGCACCAUAGAAUUCUCUCGAUGAAUCACGUAACGAGGAAAUGUAGGUGCAUAGCUUGAAGUUUUAACGGAAAAUUAUUUCGAUUCGGUUGACACCAGCAUAACGAAGAUAUACUUUGGUUGAGUUGAGAGGUGAAUGAGCAAGAAAUCUGUGUGAAGUUUCAAAUACAUAAUAUUUAAUCGCCGUUAACAAAACAAGGUGUCGAUCUAAUGAACGACAGAAAAAGAGCUAUUGAUGUCAAGUGAAUCUGUCCAGUAGUUCAUAUAAGAUAUUACGUCCUAACAAGGACAGCCGUUGUCAUAGGUCACUGGUGUAUAAGAAGAAAAAUCAAACUACAUAUAACUGCUACCAAAGAAAAAGGCACCACAGACGAAAUUGUUAAUAACAGUUCAAUAAGUUGUUUGUCCAAAGCAACGCUUUUUUCUCUACAUCACCGUGAUUUAAUGAGUUAAACAACUGCUACGUCUAUUGAUUUGAAUGGCCAGUUUUUUGCUGAUGUCAUCAAUUCUUGACAACAUCCUGUUUUUGUUUAUUGUUAUUUUUGCAUGUGAAUACAGUGAUUCGGAAUCGAUUUCCAGUCAGUGAUUUGCUAAAUAUUCCCGUAACAAUGUUUUAACUUUUCACAUGAAAUUCAACAUUUUUUUUUCUGUCUUGUUCCUGCUCUACUGGUACAUAUGGACCUAUUUCCUUUUAAAAUAGACGAUCCACUUUGUGGAAAACAUUUUCAACUGUUAUAUGUCCAUCUAAUAUUCGAUAAAACAGAAAGUUCUUGUGCAUUGUUUUUAUACAAAUAAUUAACUCAAGCAAAAGUCGAGUUGCAUUAAUAAUGGCAGCCUGUUCACCCAAAUGAAUAACAAAUUUGAUACCUCCAAAAACCUUUUCAAUAGAUUCUACAAUUUAGUUAUAUGUAAAAAAAUUGCUUAUGCUAUUUUGAAGAUUUCUGUAAUCUUUCAAAAUUAAAGAGACGUCUAAUACCAAUGUGUCUUUUUAAUUUAGAGGGUGUUCUUGCUUUUAUUCACUAAAUAUUUCUCACAAAUUAAGCAAAGUGGACAAUGCCCUUCACAGCUAAGAGUAAAAGCUUUCUAAAUCCAUUUUGAAAUUGCAUGGUAUCUCUUCUAUUUAUGAAAAACAUUUUGCUUUCUAUAGCUUCACUCAUUUUCCAAUUCCCGUUAAUGCAUACGCUUUCUGUAAGAAUUAUUACUUCGCUAUUAAGGCGACAUGCAGGCAGAAUCGUUGGCACGUCGGUCAAAGUGUUUAGUAGCAUUUCUUCUGGCUCUUUACGCUCUGAGUUCAAAUUCCACCGAGACCGACUUUGCUUUUCAUCCUUCCGAGGUUGGUAAAAUAAGUACUAGUUGAGCACCGAGUUCUUUGUAAUCGACUUAGCUUCUCCCCUAAAACUGUGGACCUUGUGCCAGAAUUUGCAACCACUAUUACUUCAGCAUCGUUUUCACAUAUUUAACCAUUUAUCAAUGGCAGAGCAUUUUCAAUUAUAUAUAAUAAAAAAAUUGUAACUAAUAUUUUGAAAUUAACUGUAAAGAAAACUUAAAACAAUAAUUGACAUAAGCCAAUCAACACAAAUUUUUAUAUAUAUGAGUGUUUAGAUUGUGUAAUGAAUUCAAAAUUAACUACUUAUGACCUUGUUUAUAUAUUCAUUAAAUGAGCUUUAUGUAAUAUAUAGGGUAAAGAUCUCCUUCGGUCAUGAAUAACCAUGGAAUUGCACCUAGAAAGUUACCCUCAGAAGCUCACGUCCGGGCAAGAUUGUUUAUGGAAGACCAGCAGUUGCCCAUGAAUACCAGCACCCUUUCCACGCCACCGAUGCUAUCCAAGGGAAAGACAAAGGCUGAUACAGCUCCGCACAAGCGAUGUCGCAACUCAUUUCUACAGCUGAGGGAACUGGAGGAAUAUGAAAUAAAGUGCCUUGUUCAAGAACACAACACACAGCCCGGUCCAGGAAUCGAACUCAAUGCUCUGCAAAAUGGAAAAGAGUUGCAUCACAGUUGAUCGUAUGAAAAACUUAUAUGCUUUCGAAAUUUAUUCAUCACAAGUAUCCAGUUAUUGUGAAACAACUCACUGCCUAUCAUUCACCCAAAGUAGUGAAUGAAUAAUAGUCUUAAAGUCAACAUUUCUAUUUUUGCGACCACAUCUAUACCCUCUAGUUAACUCAGUUCUUGACCAAAUUCAAUGCUAAUUCAUUCUUGACUAAGUUCAUUGAAAACAAUCAGUAUUCUGUUACAUUUUCAGAUAUGAGAAUAGAAAAUUGGUUGUGUGGGGGAAAGAAGUAACGAUAAAAUAUGUGUUCAAAAAUGGCAGAAGAACUCAUAGAUGUAACUUCUACGCAAUAUAAUUUCUUUACUUCCGCAUUAUUUUUAAAAAUCACGCUUAAAUAAAAGAUCUCAAUGAAUGUAAUCUAAUUCUGUAAACUUCGUCACAAUUAGUGUACUGGAAAAAGGUUUAUAGUGAUCAAAUUCCAAUAAAAGUAAGGCCCAUCUUCGUCUUUUCUGUCCUACACUGAAUUCAUUUAUAUUUAUUAUAUUUAUUGUUUACAAAUUUUUAUCACAUAAUUCGAUGGUACGUCUGACGUAGAGGGUCACAAAUUCAACUCCUUUGGGGACAAACAUUUUCAAUGUAUUUUAUCGAUGAUUUAUCAUAUACUAUAAUAAUACUCGUAUUUUUCUCCAUCACAGCAUAUGAAUGAGAAAGGAAGGGGUGAUAGAUGAAUAAGGAAGGAAGCGGUGAUGGCAAACUGGUGGUAGGAGCGUUUCAACUGUGUGAGUAUGUGUAUGUAUGUAAUAGGGAGGUGUGUGGGUAUGCAUUGGAAGUGGGAUGGUGAACAUUCAACGCUAAAAAGAGAAAGCAAACAACGUUUCAACUCUGUGUGUAUGUGUGUGCGUGUAAAAGGGAAGUAUGUGAAUGUAUGUGUGAACCAGCGUUCUUUCAGUAACAAACCAUGAUGAUGUCACAUCUCAAAAGACAACCACUAGAUAGCAUUGACAAGUGUAUCAAUUUUUGAUUUACCAUCCAUAUUUAUAUAUAAAAUACUACAAAUAACCGUCAUUUUUGACGGCACGGGGCCAGCUGGUUCAGGUAUAAACCAAAGGUAACUAAACUAUUGGUAAUAACCGUGACUAAACCUUGCGAUAUCAGUGUCUGAAAAGAUUCUGAUAUUUUAUAAAUAUAUAUCGUGGUGGCGAGGUUUGACUGACAUGUGGUGGCCGGAUGCCUGCCCCUGAUGAUUUCCAAUAGAAUGAAAUCACUUGAAAUAGGUGUUCCGGCACACGUGACACACGAUUUUUAUCUGCUACGAUCUAUGUAUGCGCUCUCAAGCAACAAGCGCCUAUAUGAGAGGAUGUCUCAAGGCUAAUAACGCAGCAUUUGGUUUUCUAAGACAUCCACGUUAAGUUCGAUAUAAAGACUGCUUUUUGAUACUAAUACUGCUUCCAUUGCUAAUACUUCAAUUUUGAUUAGUCUGCCGAUUAUCUACGACAUCAGUAUCUGAAAAGAUGCUGAUAUUUUAUAUAUCGUAGCAGCGAGAUUUGACUGGCACGCAGCGACAGGACACUUCCCACUGACGAUUUCCAGUAGAAUAAAAUCGCGUGAUAUGGGAGUUCCGGCGAUCGAUAUAUGUGCUUUUAUGCACCAAUCAUCUAUAUGACAAUAUCUCUCUAGGUUAAUACACAGCAUUCAGUGUUCAAACAGAAAAUUCACGUUAAAUUGGAUACAAUAUUGUGUGUGUGCGUGUGGGUUAUGGUGGACUCUCGUCGCACACGACAAAUGAAAUUUCUGCAAUCUCUUGCUGAACAAUCUGCACAGCUUAAUUAUUUAUAAAGAGCAAAAGGUAAUCCAAAUCUAUGAAAAGUCUCCUAACACAAGCCCAGGUACGCUCGACAACAACACUGAAGCCGUCAGUAAAAAAGUGCAGAAGACCUAACUGUGGUAUAUGCAUCAACCUAAUUGAGGGAUCGGAGUUCUCUUUCAGAUAGAGUCAAUGUUUUACAGUGAAAAACAACUUCACGUGAGCUUCGGAGAACCGAAUAUAAGUAUUAACUUGCUCUGGGUGUCGAAAGCCAAACCAAAAACAUAGGCCAAACCAAAAACAGACUAUGUCAAAGGAUGGCUGUACAUAGAUCCCAGAUCAAAAUUCGGGAAUACAGAAAAAUAGCAUUCAGUGAACACAUCGUCAUUUGAGCCACUAACAAACAACCCAGCUUCAGAAAUUUUCCCCUCUAUAAAUUUAGGAACUAUGCAACCUAUAGUCAGCGCAUUAGUAAAGAGUCAUAUUUUAUCACAAAAUAUAAACCCUUUUUGAAUGCGUCCACCACAAAUGACACCACUACAAGGGCUUAGAAAAAUACCCACGCAAAUAUUAAAAAUGAUAUAUUCAGAACAGUCACUACCCAUGAAUUUAUUCAGUACAAUUCCAAUCACUACUAUUACAACUACAACAGGUCACUUUUAGGUCACUUGACCAUUUAAGAGGAUUCCAGCAACAUCCUACUACUGUCAUUCCACUCCUGCAUUAUUUUAUUAUUCUUUCUCUUCUUUCCCUAUUCCCUCUUCUUCUUCUUCUUCUUCUUCUUCCUCUUCUUUUUAUUCGUCGUUGUCAUCGUCGCUUCUUUUCCCAGCUACUACUGCUGCUUAAAGAAUCAAAACCAAGAAUACAUAUCAAAUAUUAGAACUACUGCUGAGAAACGGAGACAGACAGAAAAAAAGGAAAAUGUCCCUUGCAUUGGAAAACUAUGGAAAUAUUUUUAAAAUAAACAUUUCAUUUAAUUUUCCACAAUUUAAAAUUUUUUUCAUGAAAAAGUCGCAAAGACUCAAACCGGUACAUUUUAAAUGUAUAUAUAUAUAUAUAUAUAUAUAUAUUCAGAUUUUUCAAUAUGCUAUGCCACUGGUUUAAAUUGAUAUUAAUCAAAUUAAUAUCAUUUUUUUACCCUUAUAUAUAUAUAUAUAUAUAUAUAUAUAUAUAUAUAUAUGAUAGAUCGCUAGCCACUACACACACAUUAUUUUCUCUCCAUGUUUCUUUCUGUGUUCCUUUCUGUGGAAGAGAGUAGGCUCGAAACGUUAAAGACUUUUUCAAUUCCCGAGCGUUAUACUAAUGCAUGUUUGUUUUCUACACCACCUGUCUUC
rnacentral:lncRNA from 1 species